CACUGUGGAGCCAGACUGCCUUUCUGGAAUGGCAGUGUCAGUCAAUUAGCUCCUUUGAUUUUCAACGCAAUGUGCCAUUCCAUAAUGGCUGCUGUUACUACUGCUAGCUAGCAUGAGGACGAAAAGGUACGUUUUCUGGGAAUAACGGUAACAUUUGGAGUACAGUGGCAUAUCCCAUCCCUGCACUGAGGUACGUUUUCCGACCCAUAUCUCGCGCCGGCUCCACGGUGUCUAAUUAACGCAACCAGGAUUGCAUUCGGACACAGUGCAGAUCAAUGCAGAAAGUUGUCAAAAGUAAGAGAGAAUAUCUUUAAACAAUACACAUUUAUUUAUAAAGCAGCUGUCACAAAAUGCUUAUACAGAAACUGAGUCUAAAACACCAAACAGCAAGAAAUGCAGAUGUCGAAGCACGGUGGUUAGGAAAAACUCCCUAGAAAGGCAGGAACCUUGGAAGAAACCUAGAGACGAUCCAGGCUCUGAGGGGUGGCCAGUCCUCUUCUGGCUGUGCUGGGUAGAGACUAGAGUACAUGGCCAUUAAGGCCAGAUUGUACAGUUACAUUCUAGAUGAUUCUGUGCUUCCAAAUUUGUGGCAACAGUUUUCCUGUUUCAGCAUGACAAUGCCCCCUUGCACAAAGUGAGGUCCUUAAAGAACUGGCCUACAGAGCCCUGACCUCAACCUCAUCCAACACCUUUGGGAUGAAUUGGAAGGCUGACUGCGAGCCAGGCCUAAUCGCCCAACAUCAGUGCCGACCUCACUAAUGCUCUUGUGGCUGAAUGGAAGCAAGUACCUGCAGCAAUGUUCCAACAUCUAGUGGAAAGCCUUCCCAGAAGAGUGGAGGCUGUUAUAGCAGCAAAGGGGGGACCAACUCCAUAUUAAUGCCCAUGAUUUUGGAAUGAGAUGUUUGACGAGCAGGUGUCAACAUACUUUUGGUCAUGUAGUGUAGAUUAUUGCAGCAUAGAUCUUUGAAAGGCCCCAUUGUGCCAUACCAAUCAAUCAAUCAAUCAAUCAAAUGUAUUGAUAAAGACCUUUUUACAUCAGCAGAUGUCACAAUAUGCUAUACAGAAACCCAGCCUAAAACCCCAAACAGCAAGCAAUGCAGAUGUAGAAGCAUGCAGUUACUGUAAGUGAGCAUCUCAGUUGUGCUGUAUGAUCCUGAGAAUAGUUUGUUUUCAACAUUCCUAACAACCAUUCUGAUGAAUCAUGUCCACAAAAGGGGAAAACUAAGUUAGAAUAUGAAAUGUUUUAAGAACACUGUUACAUUAUAAUACCGCUAUGCUGAGAGAAAAAGGAGAACCAGGUAUCUAGCAAUAUAUUACAAUAUUUCUUGGUGAGGCAAAGAUGGCGAUAGUGAGCCACCUGAGACAAGCCUUGAUGAAGACAAUGUGAGCAAAACACUUGUAAGACUACAGGAAAUAUGGGUUAGACUGAUCUGUCAGAAUACAUGUAUGUAUCAUUCACCUCUAAAAUAAACCCUUUACUGGAGUCAGUUUGUUCCCAAGGACACUACCAAACAUCUAUGAAACUUACCAUACUUUAUGUGAUCCAAGACCUGUAUGGUGGGGAAAACUAUGAAGGGGAAAAGAGAUCACUGUUACAGCGUAAUAAACACACAAAUCACAUUAUAUAAACACUGGACAUAAAGGUGACAUAUGUCAACAGUCAAGUUUUGUUGAAAAAAUAUAUACAUUUUGCGAUUUUAUCCACAGAUAGGAUAGUAUUUGAGUUGGAUUAGAUAGAAGAGGGAUAUACUGUAGCAUGGACCGUAAAUUUGCAUAGGCGAGGAUUGAACCUCUGCCUUCAGGGCUAAGUGUAGACCAGGGGUGGCAUGAUCUUAAUCAGUUUCUAAAACUGAUGGGAUUGGGUGUGUAUACUUACUGCAGUCACGUUUUACCUCGU
rnacentral:lncRNA from 1 species